GAGAAUUCCCAUAUCCCCCAACUCCAGGUUCCCAUCACACAUGAGUGGGUACAUUUUUCACAAUGCUGAACCCAUGUGGAAGCAUUAGUAUCCAGGUAGGUGCUUGUUUAAUCCAGGUGUCCUUACUUACCUUAGGUCUUUCUGUGUCCCAGGACCACAUCCAGGAUCCACCAUGCCUCCUUAUGCUCCUUGGGACUGUGGCAGUUUCCUAGUUUUUGUGUUUUGUUAAUUUUCUGUUUGGUUUAUUCCUGGGGAUUGAACCCAGGGGUGCUCUAGCUUCAAGCUACAUCCCAACCCCUUUCUGGUUUUUAUUUUGAGACAGGAUCUCACCAAGUUGCUGAGGCUGCUUUUGAUGUGCUUUUGAUGAACUUGUGAUCCUCCUGCCUGAUCCCCAGGUGGGAUUAUCAGCCAGCUCCACUGUGUCCUGGACAUUCCUUGUUUUGGAUGACCUGGAUGGUUUUGAGGAAUGCUGAUCAAGCAUGUUGUAUACUGUCCCUUGGCUGGGAUUUACCUGAUGGUUUUCUCUUGAACACAUUCCUGUUGGUGAUUGGGGCAAACGAUUGCAGAGACCCUUCUCAUGCUCUGGUUUUGAGGCUGCCUUAUUAGAGUCUGUAAACAAGUCAGGAUGGCGCCUGGCAUUUUGCCAGAGGGAGUGGUUUGUGAAGUAACUCCAGCGAGCCAUUAAGUGUGGAGAUUCCUUAUUGGUUGACUGCUGUAUCGAGUUUAUGUUAAUUAAGAUAAGCUGUGUGGAAUGUAUAUAUACUGCUCCAGUCCUACAAUAAAUGGCUCCCACUCCUGCUGUAUCAAUGUACACAAGUUGCUCAUCCCCCCCCCCCCGGUUAUUUUGCUGCAGCCAGACUGCGGCAGAUGGUGGCCCAUUACGGGGAGCCCCGGGACACUUGGGGGUAAGUGACGAAAAAAAAAGCUGCCCGUCCAUAGAUAGGACGGGAGCAAAUCUGUUCGUCCCUAGGCAGAUAGGACGAGAGGAAAAAUGGCCAUUUCGAGAAAAUGGAGAAGAUUGAUACAGUAUGUUUGUGUCUUGUUUUGUCUUGAAAUGUUGUAUUAUCUUUGUGACAAAAAUAUGGAAGGGGUGAGAAGUAAAUUAUUAAGGGAAGUAGGCACACCAGUGGAACCAAGAAUAGUUAGGGCAUGUGUUGAUGGAAGCCCAGGAACUCUAGUCAGAAAGAAGAAAAAAGUUCAGAGGAGAAAGGAUUAUCAAGAAAGAAAUUGCAAAAGGCUACUACAAAAUACUUUUCAUUACCGGAGGGUGGGCGCGGUGGCAGCUGCCACGUGCGCGAGCUGGUCAUGCCGCAGCAAGGGCUUUCCAAGCAGCAGCAACCGGCUCUUCCCCGCCCCCUGCCCAGGGAGCCGGACGCCACUGCAAGAGCCCAAAUCCAAACCUGUGCCUGGAAGCAGUUUGAGUCCAGG
rnacentral:lncRNA from 1 species